CUCCUCCGGUGCCGGUUCCGGCGCUGGUUCCGGUGCCGGUGUUGCUGUUGUUGUUCCCCCCUGAAAAGGGGAGCGGACUGGGCGCACGGAUCAGCGGAGGCGCGCUCAUGUGAACCUUUUCUCCCCGGUGCAGUACGCCACGUCUCCAUGGUAACCGCUGACUGUCGUGUGAGCGCCCCCUGCUGCUGAUGGUUGUCUCACUGUUGCUGUUGAAACAAAUCACUUCCUGUGUGCAGCAUGGGGAGUGUCACCGGGUGACACGAACGCUCCGACAGUCGUCGUGGGAAGUUGCUGAAUCUACAUCGAGUGGACAGCGUUGAUUGCGACCAGGGUUUCCGUCCGAGACGGGCCGGGAUUUGAGAGGACCCAGUAUUCUCCACUCGCCUCGUCUUCACGGAGAGUGCACCUGGAGCAACACACAUACUACCCGGGUAGCACACAUGCACACACUGACUGACCAGGCGUUUAUAUUAACAGCAAUAAGCUGUCAGAGGACACUGUAUUUUGGUCUUUUGUGUUUUUAUUUUUUUGUUAAUCCAUGUGGAGAUUUUGGCGUCCACACCGUCACAUGAAAAAAGAAUAGAGCUGAAUGAUAGACAGCAGAUUCAUUUGAUUUAAUAAUAAAACAUAAGGUAUUAAAGUAAGAAAUCAUUGUGUCAAGUAUGUGAGUGAGAAAGCUCGCCUGUUAUUUUUAACAUAUAUUAACGAGUUGGUAACAAAAGGCCUCCUCAGGAGAAACACCACAUAUGUUCCACUGCAACACUUUGGAAUAAAUUACCAAACAGUCUUUAUUUAAUCAUCUGUGAGGCUGUCGCCUCUGUGCGCCGCGCCGCCGUCUCCUGCUCCACGCUGCAAAAGAUGACGAGACGACGACGUCCUGGAGAACAUCUGGGACUAACUCACUGUAGUCCACUUUAAUCUGGUUUAUAGUUUCAUUUAAAUAUUAUUAUUAUUAUAGUUUUAACAUAUAAUGAAAUACUCUCUGUUCUUAUGGAUUGUUAACCUGUUCACAAACCAUAAAGAGAAUAUUUAGACCAACAAUGGUUAGAAUAUUCUCUUUGUGGUUGUUUAGGUUUCUCUGUUUGUAAAGGUAUUCUGUCUCAUUGUGGUUGAUAUGUGUCUCUUUGUGGUUGAUAUGUGUCUCAUUGUGGUUGUCUUGUGUCUUUUUUGCCUUUUUUUAUUGAAGUAAUUUCACCUUGACAAGGUCCUUUUGUGUCUCUUUCUAUUUAUUUUAUUAUGUC